GCUCCUUCUUCUCCACCGAUUUUCCUCCAAGAAAAUGGCCAUGGAAGAUUGAAAAUUUUCAGCAACUUAAAGCCUUUGCAAAUCAAGAAUUACAAAAUUCGGGCCUAGACCGAGGAAAAGCAAAUCAAGUGUACUAAGCCGAACUAGUUGCCUACAUUUUGAAUACCAAGUGUCGCCUAUUUAGCUCGAGGAUCAUCGGACGUCGGAGGCAUCGAUCACACUAUCAUCCGAAGAACUUGGUAUAGUUAGAUCUAUUAUUUUUAGUUAUGGCAUGUAUAGGACCUUGACUUUUGAGUUUUGUGUCAUUGUUAAUUUUCCAAAUGUGUUGGCUUGCUUUAGCAUUUGAUUCAUUUUGUAUAAAGCCAUAGAAAAUGGCUAAUAUUGAAAGUUUAUAUAUAACUGCAAGAUAGUUUUACAUGAAUGUGAAAUUGUUGGCAUAGUUGGAUAUAUAAAA